rnacentral:rRNA from 1 species
UACGUAGGCACCAAGCGUUGUCCGGAUUUAUUGGGCGUAAAGAGCUCGUAGGCGGUUCGGUAAGUCGGGUGUGAAAACUCUGGGCUCAACCCAGAGAGGCCACCCGAUACUGCCGUGACUGGAGUGCGGUAGGGGAGAGGGGAAUUCCUGGUGUAGCGGUGAAAUGCGCAGAUAUCAGGAGGAACACCAGUGGCGAAGGCGCCACUCUGGGCCGUAACUGACGCUGAGGAGCGAAAGCGUGGGUAGCAAACAGG